CCUACGGGAGGCAGCAGUGGGGAAUAUUGCACAAUGGGGGAAACCCUGAUGCAGCGACGCCGCGUGAGCGAUGAAGUAUUUCGGUAUGUAAAGCUCUAUCAGCAGGGAAGAAAAUGACGGUACCUGACUAAGAAGCCCCGGCUAACUACGUGCCAGCAGCCGCGGUAAUACGUAGGGGGCAAGCGUUAUCCGGAUUUACUGGGUGUAAAGGGAGCGUAGACGGUCUUGCAAGCCAGAUGGGAAAGCCCGGGGCUCAACCCCGGGACUGCAUUUGAAACUGUAAGGCUAGAGUGUAGGAGAGGAAGGCGGAAUUCCUAGUGUAGCGGUGAAAUGCGUAGAUAUUAGGAGGAACACCAGUGGCGAAGGCGGCCUGCUGGACGAUGACUGACGUUGAGGCUCGAAAGCGUGGGGAGCAAACAGGAUUAGAUACCCUAGUAGUC
rnacentral:rRNA from 1 species